rnacentral:lncRNA from 1 species
GAAAAGUUCAAGUAUUUAGAAAAUAAAUUACAAUAUCUAAUACAAUCAAAAUUACAUUUCUUUGUAUUAUUUACAUAACUUACAUUAACAUACUACACUAGAACUCUAUAUGUUUAUGUAAAAUUAAAUAAACAUAUUAAAAAUUGGAGCAGAUUGAUAAGAUAGAUGGAAUCUCAUCAAAAUGCAUAAAUGAGAUAUAUGAAGAUUGUGUAGGAAAAACGUAUCGUAAGAAAGAAUGUAUAAUCGAUGUUUCUUUAAUUAGCUAAAAAUUUUUAUCCUUGAAAGUUUGUUUUUAAUAAUACAUUUUGUAAUAUUUUAUCGUUCUGUCUUAAAAUUUAUGCAAUUAGUUUUGUUCUUGCCUUGAUUGAUGAAUAAAAUAAAUUGUUCCCCAAAACACUUAUUUUCAGUAAAUUAACAGUUACUAGAAAAUCUGCAUAAACAAUAAUAACUAAUUUCUGUCGUUCAAUUUUUCUCCUCAAGCUUGGGAACACCUUUAUGAAUUUCCAUCGACGACGUGUCACGUUUGUGUCUCACUUGUGCAGGAAAUGGUCUACAGUACCCUCUGGGGAAUAUAAAUGCACGUAACACCAAUAUUUAAUAAAAUUGAAUAUAUUAGUAAUUUUUGAAAAUAAUUGUUAUAUAACAACUCUUAAAAGAUUAUUAAAUAUAAAUAAAUUGGAUUGCAGAAAUAAUAUGCAAUAGACUAAAGAACUACAAAUUACCCGCUUUUGACGGGGGAUGUAAUAAAAUUCAAAAUAAGCUUUUUUAAUUGUUGAACUACAUAAUUAAUCACAACUGAAAUAAUUCUCUAUUUAAUCUAUCAUGUUAAUGAGAAGUACAUGGAGUUUAUUGAUGAAAAAUGUCUUUUCAGAUCACUUAAGGAAACCUUCAACAUUAGUCUUUAUUUGAGAAAAGUGUCGAGAAAUAAAUAUCUGCACGGUCAUCAUCAGACAAAUUAUAAUGACAAGGGGUCAUUUGCAAAUUGACCAAAAAUUUAAUUAAUUAAUAUUUUUUCUUUUUGGGAUGUACAGCUAUGGAGUUAUUUAUAAAUUAAAUCUGUUUUAUUUCAUCAUUAUGAGAACUGAUGAAAUGAUGCAAGACCCCUCGUCAAGUAAGAACCAAAGGGAUAUGACUUGCUUUACAAGAAAUUAUAAUUGGAAAGUCAUUGGGAAAACAUACUCAAUGAAGUUAGUGUGUAUGAUGUGUGUGUGUGUGUGCUCAACAGACAUUACUAAUCACAAAAAGACUAUUUUUAGGCUCACCGUUGUGCUUGACCUCAAUCCUGAUGGUUAGAGAAAAAGGAGAUUGGAGAGGACACGUGGGAAGACACCAGAUGCUCAAUCUAGAACAUAUCAAGUUAUCAUGAGAGAACAGGCG